UUUCCUGAUGACUUCCAGAUUCUUCCUUCAAGAGAUAUCACCAUAACAGUAAUGUCAUCAUGGUACUUCCGUCGGUCUCCUUGUGGUAUGUCUAGUAAUUUAUGGAAAUCCAUCCCAGCUUUCUUGGCUGCGCGAGAAAGAAGCUCCUCUAUCAGGUGCUGUGCUGGGUCGCCAUCUGGAAACUUCUCCAUGAAACUCUCAAUAUGAGAAACCACUUCCUGAUUGGUCAGAUACUGAUAUAGUCCGUCAUCCAUCAGAUGAGAGGACUAAAAAUUGAUCUCUUGGACAAAGUUGAUGGUGACAGAGAGAAGGUGUGCAAGAAACAUAUGGUGCAGUACCAAUAUACUCGUUCCGAAACAUCUCCAACAUUGCAUCAUUAAAUUUGGGCUGUUUGAGAAAUCCUGCUCCAAAUGCUCUAGUAACCUUAAGACGACCUUUCACUCUAUCAUUGACAAUACACUGGCUGUCAUCAAGGUGUUCAGUCUUGAUUCUUAAGAUUUCUUCUUCAAUGCUUGUGCUGUGAUCAGUGGACAGCUGCAAUGCAGUCAACCUCAUCACAUGAGCGGAACCCUCAACUACCCCCUCCAAGCUCAACCCAUUACCACCUACACUAGAACCAACAUCUUCUGGCUCAUACUGCGCCACGAUUGCCCUGCUAUCACCCACAUUCAUCACAUAUACAUCCUCAUCUCUCAUCAAGACCACCAAUAAACAUGAACCCAUCAAUGCUAACUCUGGAUUUGUAUCCAGCACCUUAUCCGUCGUGUCCAGGUAUGCUAGUUCAGUCAUCUCUAGCGCCCUUGACAAUGCCCUCAAAACCAAUUCAUGAUCCACAGGUCCCACCUUACGCUUCCUCUUCAAGACCCUCUCCUCCACUCUACUACUUUCCACCUUCUCUUUUGUCUCCAGUCCAAAUUUCCAUGGAAACAAAUUCUUCUCCCUAUGUUUUGACAACCCUUGUUUCAAUUUUGACAGCAAUAACCACCUUCCACUUACUGCAGACCCCGCAUUGCUGACGCUAAUUGCAUCAUCAACAGAGAAAGCAAACCUAUCAGACCCCGAGAGAUCAAGGCCCUCUUCUGCAUCUUCCUCGGCGAGGAAUUCCCAUAACCGCCUUCUCUGUGUAAUCUCUGAACCCUGUGAUUGAAACGUAACCCUCUUUGCCCCUUCGUGAGGCACCGGGAUCAACUCAAUUCUGCCAAUUGUACCAACCCCAUCCCUUUCAACACCCGUUUCCUUUGAUGGAUCAUCUUUAGCUACAUUUCCUUGAUACCGGUACACUAAAUUGGAUUCUAUUUCACCGACUGAACUCUCCCCAUAAUCUUUACAAUUUCUUUCUAGUGAUGGGAUUGGGUUAGUCGUAUUGUCACUUUCCACUACAAUUGUUGAUGCUACAUUACUUGCCUCUUCCGGCUCUUCAACGUCCCAAAACAAUCCUUGAAGUUCAUUAUAAACAGCCCUAUAGAGGUUCCCCAUCAAGAACUCGGGCGCAUCAGGGCCGUUAAACCCAUCAUAAAUCCCAACAAACAACCAACCCUGCUCCUCAGAUACAACCACGUGGACCCGAUC
rnacentral:misc_RNA from 1 species